UUUUUUUUUACAUGUCAACGGCUUUCAAACAAGGCCAGGAUAUCAGCGCUUUUCACGGAUUAUCACACGAGAUCUGUUGCACCUUAAAUCAGCUGCUGUCUAGCAAGAGUUUAUAAAGCAGGUUACACAUACUUUUAUGUGGCAGUUAACGAACUAAAAAGCCUAGUUUUAUUUGGUAACAACUGAAGAGAGCCAAUAUGAUGUCUGUGCCACUGAGGAAAACUUUGACACCAAUAGAGAAUUGCCAGUUUAGAAAACAACUUCAGAACCUUAUCUUAAGGAAUUUCAUCCCAGGUGGUAGUGCAAAUUACCCAC